CUCAAAGUGGUGAUGAAGGCAUAUGUAAUCCAGGUGUAACAAACGGCGGCGGCCAUCGUGGAACGAUUUCCGCCCACCCCCAGCUGUUCUGCAUCUUCCCGGGUAAAUCCACAAGGCUGUCAGCGCGGUAUCAAGCGAGGAGACCUUUCUAACUGGCUGCAAAUGAAACACAGCCGCCCGUGUGUUAGCUGGCGAUACACCGUCCCUCAGCGGCCCGGAGGGAUCAGGUGACCCUGAGAACGACACGCCUUCUCCCAGCCGAAUCGACCCGCCCGCGACCUUGACUCCGAGCCGUUGACCGUUUCUGCUUGGGGCCUCGGCCUGGCCCGGCUGCACCCUGCUUCCAAUCACACGCCACGUGGGACAGGGCCCCAAACUGCCCCUUCUGCACAGGGC